rnacentral:lncRNA from 1 species
GGGAGGCUUGGUGCAGGAAGGUUGGGGUGGGGGGACAAGGGACAGGGAGGAUUGGCGGAGCGAAAGGCAGAGAAGCCCAGGGUAGCAGGACAAGGGGAAGGGGAGGGGUGCCAGGAACCUGGGGCCCUUGGAUGGAGAAGGGGGAUGAAGCAGGCCAGGUUUGGAACAGGGGAAGGGGGAGGACGGCUGUAAGGAGGGGCGCCUGGGAGGAGAAGUGAGGCUGAAGGCGAAAAGAAGAGUGUGGGUUUGGGGGAAGGAAAACCGGAGCAGGUAUGGAGGCCGCAGCCCAGAAGGUAGCAAUGGGGCCAGACUGGAGCCCCCCGGGUGGGAUUGAGGGGCGGGGACUGGAAGAGGAAAACCAGGGGGCCUCCCAAAUCCUGGAGGAAGAAGAAGUGGGGUGCAAUGUACGCAAGUAGGCCCUGGGCAUAACUCUGCCUGUAGGUGUGUCCAGUUCUGUGUAGCAGAUUUGUGUGUGUCUGGAGGUCUGUGUGUGUGUCUGUGGGUGUGUCUGUGGGUGUUUAUGUCUGUGUGCCUGUCUGUCCCUAGGUUUCUGUUUACCUAUGCCAAUCUCUGUGUCUGGUCCUCUGUCUGUAGAUGUGGGUCGGUGGCUCCGUGGUUUGUGUGUCUGAAUGUGUACUUGUGUAGCUGAGGGGUUGCAGUCCGUUUGUGGGGCCUGUAUGGGUGGUGGAUCGGGAUGUCUUUACACAAGAAGGGAAUCUGUGUUGACCUGGUCUCUCCAGAGUGUGUAUUUGGGGCUCUGAACACCUUUGUCGGGGUCUGUGUCUGUCUUGUCUGUG